CGGGUAGCGGAACACGUACGCAAUCUACCCAAAACUGAUGAAUAGCCCUCCGAAAGGAGGAUUAAUACAUCGUAACUUAAUGAAGUGGCAUCACUUUAUUAAUAUAGCUCCGGCGGUUUUGGAUGAGCGUGCGCCUGAUUAGGUAGUUGGCGGGGUAACGGCCCACCAAGCCAGAGAUCGGUAGCCGGCCUGAGAGGGCGCACGGCCACACUGGAACUGAAACACGGUCCAG
rnacentral:rRNA from 1 species